rnacentral:rRNA from 1 species
AUCGAACGCUGGCGGCAGGCCUAACACAUGCAAGUCGAGCGAGCGGCGGACGGGUGAGUAAUGUAUGGGGACUGCCCGCCCGCGCGGGAUUACCACUGGAAAACGUGGCUUAUUCCCCAUACUAUCGGUUAACCCAUAUGGGAUUAGCUAGUAGGUGGGGUAAUGGCUCACCUGGGCGCCGACCGCUAGCUGGUCUGAGAGGAUGACCGGCCGCACUGGGAGUGGGACAGGGCCCAGACGCCUACGGAGGCAGCAGUGGGGAAUAUUGCACAGUGGGCGCAAGCCUGAUGCAGCCAUGCCGCGUGUAUGAAGAAGGCCUUAGGGUUGUAAAGUACUGUCAGCGGGGAGGCGUUACCCGCAGAAGAAGCACCGGCUAACUCCGUGCCAGCAGCCGCGGUAAUUC